rnacentral:rRNA from 1 species
AGCAGUCGCCACGGGAAUACGUAGGGUGCGAGCGUUAAUCGGAAUUACUGGGCGUAAAGCGUGCGCAGGCGGUUGUGUAAGACAGGUGUGAAAUCCCCGGGCUUAACCUGGGAACUGCGCUUGUGACUGCACAGCUAGAGUAUGGCAGAGGGGGGUGGAAUUCCACGUGUAGCAGUGAAAUGCGUAGAGAUGUGGAGGAACACCGAUGGCGAAGGCAGCCCCCUGGGCCAAUACUGACGCUCAUGCACGAAAGCGUGGGGAGCAAACAGGAUUAGAUACCCGAGUAGUCCCUGUCUCUUAUAC